GCUCAAGCCGACAAGUGUUGGCGCUCCAGGCCUAGUCUCGAAGUUCGCAGGCUAGGACUCGGCCUGUUCUCCCGGGCUCCGAAAUGCCGUUCUCCCGAAUGAACAUUUGAACCUAUCUACCGGGAAGAUUCGCCUCUCCUUGUCAACCACGGGGAGCCAUCAGUCCGAACCCGUCGAGACAUAAGCAUUUCAGUUCUACAGGAACUAGAUUGUUAGAGAAAAAACUUCCCCACAGCUUCAGAUGAGCUUUUCAGGGUUGGUCUGACAGUUCCAUGAGGAAAUGACCUUAUGGAG